ensembl:lncRNA
GUUCCACUUUAUUUAUCACACAAAGCUACACUGGUGCACAAACAUGUUUGGGUUUUGGGUGGAGUGUUGACACUGUUUGUGCUGGUGUGCAGCUGACGCUGAGGACUCUCCUCCUCUCACACCUGUUGCAUGCAAGUACCCCUCACAUUUCCCAUGUACUGUCAGUCAUUUUUACAACAGGAGAUUCAUCCUUCAUUUCUCCCCCAGCCCCAUAUGGACCGACAUCCUUCUCUUGCAUAAGUAUCUUUAUACAUUAUUUACCUCGCAUUUAGACACUUAUGCUGUACUCAUUCUUUUAUUUUAUUUAUUUUAACCUUCUCUCACAGUGGAAGGCAAGGAAGGUCACCUUGGAGCUCUUGUUAAAAGCAAGUACUGUAGGGUGAUAGACCACUAGUACCAGUGAACUAGUUACCUUAGAAAAAAUGUACCCUGGUCCCAUGUCACCCUAGAUAGAUGGGGCACUUUCAGUCUCGUAAAGUCAAACACUUACAUUCUAGUCCAGUGUGGAAAUGGUUUGGUCUUUAGAUAAUUGUCCCUUUAAAGAUGCACACCUGCAGCCUAUUGUCAGCUUUUUGUGCUGCUAUAUCUUUGUGGGUAAUUAACUUCUAAACAGUUUGACAAACUAAGCUUGCUUUUAACACUUUUAGGCAACCACCCAGAUAACUACCAAGCAUUGUGGUUUGAGAAGAUAACGGACCCUGUAUCUGGGGAGACAUUACACAUCUACAAAGGAGGCUACUGGGAAACCAAGGAGCAGGGCAGCUGGGACAUGUGCCCGGACAUCUUCUAACACUCAACACCACAGGAAAAUGAAAAGCUGUGAGAGGCUCAAGGCAGUUUCAGAUAUGGAAUCUGGACUAUACCCUCAACACAACUAAAUAUUUUGUUACUUCAAAUUUCACUCCAGUAUUUAUUGCACAUUAUUUAUUCGUGUUCAAAUAUAAUCUGUUAAAUACUACAGUGCAUUUAUUAGUAAGGUGAUUUUGAUCCACACUGAUGUAGUUUUAAGACUGAAACUCCUUGUAAUGACUAAAAUAAAGAUGGACAUAGCCAUCACCAAUACAACAUUUCAGUGAAUUUAGUCUGACAGUUCAUUUCAAGUGAUAUAACACAUUUCCGUGGUUAUUAUGUGUAGUAUUUUCAGAUGCAAAGCUUCAUAAUCUGUCUAGUGUUGAGCUUUAUGAGGGUACACUAAACAAAAAAACAACAUCCCAGAGUUACAGCUGGAGCUGCCUGUGAUAUUGAUGUUAUUUAAGUCAGUAAGCUGUGAGGAGUCGGUAAGCUAUGAGGAGAGGUCUUCCUGAUUUCCUGUGAACAUUUCAACCAUAGCUUUAAUCUAUGUGGUUUCCUUUUGUGCUGCACUUGUACUUUUUCUAACAGCAAUAAGAGUGCCUCUGUGAUUACAUGUGGCAUAAUGUUCAGUGUUCAGUGUUCAGAUGUGAAAUGAUGUAACAUGCUACUGUCUAUCUUACCCACUGUCAUCAGUAAUGAGUGACUGAAUGGGUUCAUUUUAAAAUCUAUUAUUUUAUUUGACAUUCUCAAGUGUACUUAAAAGAACACUGACACAAUGUUACUACAUAUUUGUAUAAAUAUGUGACAAAGUACUGACUUUUGAAAUGAACAGGGUGAGAGAGACCAUAUGCACUUUUGUUUGUUUACAUUACAAAUAUAAUCAAUAAUAUUAUGUAGAGCUGCCCAGUGUGUUUAAUUUAAAUUUAAUCAAUUUCUGUUGAUCUCACACAGUUUGUGUUCAGUUGGUUUGAUUUCUCUUUGUUUAGUUGAGUUUUUAUGUGUGACUUGUUUAGUAACUUUGUAAACUCUUUAGUUCUUGUAUAUCGGGUGUGUAUGUAGUGACCGUGCUAAUAUUAUCAGUUCAUUCCCUGACCAGGACACUGGUCUGCGCAUCACUGCCGGGCAGUGCAGCUGUAGUUCACAAUUCAGGCUUUGCCUUUACUAUAUGUAAAUGAUCGUUCGUUAUAAAAUAUGUUUCUAAUAUAAAUGUCCAGUCAGGGUCUAUACAUUAAUUUUAAUGUGCACUGUGUCAUUCCUCU